rnacentral:lncRNA from 1 species
CACCAGUAAAAUGCAGGAACACUUUCUGUUCUAGGUCGCCCACCAGUAAAAUGCAGGAAUACAUUCUGUUCUAGGUCGCCCACCAGUAAAAUGCGGGAAUACUUUCUGUUCUAGGUCGCCCACCAGUAAAAUGCGGGAAUACUUUCUGUUCUAGGUCGCCCACCAGUAAAAUGCGGGAAUACAUUCUGUUCUAGGUCGCCCACCAGUAAAAUGCGGGAAUACAUUCUGUUCUAGGUCGCCCACCAGUAAAAUGCGGGAAUACAUUCUGUUCUAGGUCGCCCACCAGUAAAAUGCGGGAACACUUUCUGUUCUAGGUCGCCCACCAGUAAAAGCAGGAAUACAUUCUGUUCUAGGUCGCCCACCAGUAAAAUGCGGGAAUACAUUCUGUUCUAGGUCGCCCACCAGUAAAAUGCGGGAAUGCUUUAUGUUCUAGGUCGCACACCAGUA